CAGAAUGACCGCUGGCGGCGUGCCUAACACAUGCAAGUCGAAUGUGCCGCAAGGUGCAUGGCAGACGGGUGAGUAACGCGUGGGCAAUCUACCUUCUCGUGGGGAAUAACGCUCCGAAAGGAGUGGUAAUACCGCAUGAGACCAACGGCUGGGAUGCUGUUGGUGAAACCUGGGGACCGCAAUGCCUGGGGCGAGAAGAGGAGCCUGCGUCUGAUUAGCUAGUUGGUGGGGUAACGGCCUACCAAGGCAUCGAUCAGUAGCCGGCCUGAGAGGGUGAUCGGCCACACUGGAACUGAGACACGGUCCAGACUCCUACGGGAGGCAGCAGUGGGGAAUUUUGCGCAAUGGGCGAAAGCCUGACGCAGCAACGCCGCGUGGGUGAUGAAGGUCUUCGGAUCGUAAAACCCUGUCGUUGGGGACGAAGGUGGGGAGGUUAAUAGCCUCUUUGCUUGACGGUACCCGGAGAGGAAGCCCCGGCUAACUCUGUGCCAGCAGCCGCGGUAAUACAGAGGGGGCAAGCGUUAUUCGGAAUUAUUGGGCGUAAAGGGCGCGUAGGCGGUUUUCUAAGUCAGAUGUGUAAUCCCCGAGCUCAACUUGGGAACUGCAUCUGAGACUGGAAGGCUAGAGUACUGGAGAGGGUGGUGGAAUUCCUCGUGUAGCGGUGAAAUGCGUAGAGAUGAGGAGGAACACCAGUGGCGAAGGCGGCCACCUGGACAGUAACUGACGCUGAGGCGCGAAAGUGCGGGUAGCAAACAGGAUUAGAUACCCUGGUAGUCCGCACUGUAAACGAUGAACACUUGGUGUGGAGGGAGUUGACCCCUUCCGUGCCGGAGCUAACGCGUUAAGUGUUCCGCCUGGGGAGUACGGUCGCAAGGCUGAAACUUCAAU
rnacentral:rRNA from 1 species